GUCGUUCCUCUCGCCGCCAUGGCCGCAACGGCAAGCCCGUGGGCGAGCGGCGGCGGCGGCGGCGGCGGCUGGGGGCGGAGGUGCGCGGCGAGCGUACGGGCUUCACCCUCCCGCCGAGCAAUCCAGCCACACCCGGGGGUGUAGCCUGGCUACCCUGCUGUGGCGGCGAACCGGCGAGGCGAAGCGGCUCUAGUUCUCCGUGAGGCCGCGCGAGCCGCGGCCGACGCGGGCAACGGGGCACGGGCGGGGAUUCCUGGUUGCAAAAACUUGCAGUGCGAAGCGAAUCACGGCAGAAGGUACGCAUUCAAUUAAUCCUCUGUUUACUCUCUUGUUCAGGACUAUUUUCCUCGCAAAAAUAAGUACUCAGGUAACCCUAUUAUUUUCGCUGUAUUAUGGGGAUUGGGGAAAACUCCGAGGGCUCAACGAAUUAGAAUUUUUGUGCACUUUGGCUCUAGCUUCUAAUGGGUUCAAAUCUAGAGAUUGCAUAUGGUAGCUAUGUCCAAGAAUAGUAGCACUUCGUUUAUGCAGUAGCAUUUGCUCAGAGUUUGUCUAUAGAGUAGUUUUAUUCAUAUAAUUGAAUCAUCAAUCGUUAUGUCCUAAACAUUUUAAGUCAUGCUAUUUGAAGUUACCGGCUAAAUCAGUAACAAUACGUGGUUGUGAGCAGGGAUGCGAACAAUGAUGCAGUAUAAGUGGGGAUCAGGUUGAGAGAGGUCGUUUGACAAGUCUAGUACUUGCAGCCUUGCAGGCCUGUGAGGCUGCAGAUUUGUUCGAGCUGAAAUUGGUACUGAUCAGGCAAUAUUGACAUAGUGGUGUCCGAUAUACAGGCAAGUCAAGGAGUUUGAGGUCCAAAGUGGCAGGUUUCUUUUCUGAUAGUAACAUCGGCAUGUUCAUCAACGUAGAUGC
rnacentral:lncRNA from 1 species